CUUAGAUUACAUAUUAUAAUGGCUGUUAAAACUUCAACUGUCUACAAAUAUCUAUGAACAGUGAAGGAAAAAAAUGGCCAAGCAAAAGUGCCGACCUGAUGAACUUGGGAACUUCAAAACGGCUGACCAGUGGAAAAAAAAUGUGGCGAUAUGACAAAGCUUCUACUCGAAAAAAAAUACAGAUUUAAAAAAGUACCUUGGUUAAACUGAAAAUAAAACCACUAGAAUGCCUCCAGAAUUAAGUGAAAGGGAGAAAUUAUUAUUUGUAAAGAAACAUCAGAAGGUAUCGGUGUAGGUGAAGUUAGAUUUGGACAGGCUACAUUCAACCCAAAUAUCGAUGACUACCAUUUUGAAUGUAUCGGACUUGAGGAUCACAACAAAUUAAUAUAUACUGCAGGGGUGGCCAAACGGUUGAUUGCGAUUGACUGGUCGAUCUUGGACGAUUUCUAAGUCAAUCCCCUUGUUAGAAUUUAUUAGUUAUUCUUAUGCAUUUGUCAUUUAGUAGAUUCAGUUAUUAAAUACAUAUAUUUUGAAUUAACCUGUUAGUGUUAAAUGGCAUUUUUCACAUGACAUUUAUAAAAGCUGAGUAGGUUAGGCUUAGACUUAAGCACGGAGUCUUCGUUUGGCCAUGAUAUAUGCAAUGACACGCUUCUACAUCAACAGUAAAAUGUUAAUACUUUUUAAAAUUAUUUAGAAAUUUAAUGUGAAACACUCAUUUUAGAUAACUUAACACUUUAAUUUUUUUUUAUAUAAGUAUGUUUAUUAUUUAUAUUAAAUCAUUUUUUUACAUUAGUCGAUCCUAAAAGAAAAAAUAUUCCCUCAGUAGAUCUUAAUCAAAAAAAGUUUGGCCACCCCUGAUAUACUUUAAUUGAAGUAGAGGAUUUAAGUGAAACUAUUAUUAAUGCAGAAGACGUAUUUUAAUUUUACAAAAUGUACCCAAGUCAAAAUGGAACAACCAAGUCAGAAAAAAAGAAAAAAGUACAAUGUUUAUGAUGAACGACUGUUUAAAAUUGUAAUGGAAAACGUGCAGAUUUGGUUGAACACUUGGGAAAUAUGUAUCCAUGAACAACUUAUCCACCAAACUUAUCCACCAAAAUGAAUUCCUGACCAAGAUAGAAACCAGAGGACCGAGUGAUAUUGAUAUCAAAAAUUAAAUUCAAAAAUCAUUUAUUAUGGGAUUGUGGCUUUGAAUAUGUGUUAACUGGAAAAAUGAACCAAGGUCCCUUGGAAGUUUAUUUGCAGUUGUUCACUUGCAAAAAAAGAGUAACCUAAUCUGAUUUUAACUUGGAUAUGUCAAAAAAUAAAUGUAUAUCAGUAUUAUUGUCUAAUCAUGGUCGUGUGAAAGUCCAAAUAGUUGAAAAUGUCUUCAUUUGCAUAGCAUGACUUUUAUCUCAAACGUUAAAAUUUUACUGGGAAUUCGGAUUAUACAGAUCAUUAAACAUCAACAUACUCCACCACUAUGAUGACAGAAAAUUACUUAUUGUGUUUCAUUGUUACCUACUCAAAUUGAUGAUUUAUUAUCUAUUUGCAUGAACUCUUGACUAAAUAAAUAGGCAUAUCAGCAUAGUGCAAAUGUUAAAAAAAUAAAUGAGAACCUACUUGGUAUAAUAAAACAUAACAUGUAUGUUUGGUUGUCAAAUCUUAUAGCUCAACUGACAAAAGACAAAUAUGUCGUAUGAUAUUUGUUAAGAGGACACCACACACAUUGUUGGUUCUGUUGUACACACGCCAAAAUUUAUUUAGCAUCAAAUCCGUAAAGCAGAAAUAAUUUAUAUAACCUGUUUUAAAACAAAAGCAUGGAACAAAAUUUCAAGAUCAGAAAUAGUUUAUAUAUUCUCCAUAAAGUAAAUUUGCUCUAAUAUUAACUAUAAUCAAACUAUUCUAAGAAUUUGGUACAUAAACUUGAUAUGUUUUAUUAUGUUUAAGUCAGAGACAACAAUUAAUUUGU
rnacentral:lncRNA from 1 species